rnacentral:rRNA from 1 species
GACAUAGGUCGCGAACGUUAUCCGGAAUUAUUGGGCGUAAAGGGUGCGUAGACGGUGUAGUAAGUUAGCAGUGAGAAAUCGGGGCCUAACCUCGUGGAAGUUGUUAAUACUGCUAUGCUAGAGUACAGUAGAGGUUAACGGAACUCAAUGUGGAGCGGUAAAAUGCGUAGAUAUAUUGAAGAACACCAAUAACGGCGAAGGCAGUUAACUAUGCUGUUACUGACGUUGAGGCACGAAAGCGUGGGGAGCGAACAGG